AUGGAAUGCAACUAAAAUCUGCUGGAAGGUUGACUAAAAAUGUUGGGUUCCACAAUCGUUUUGUGUUGAGACAAGAUAAUCGAAGUAGCUUAUUAUUAUAUAUUUUUUUGUUUUACAAAUUUAAGUAGAUUGAAUAUAAAAAACGAAUUUGUCCCAACAAAAUCUCAAGAAUUUUGUUAUUUUAACUCAUUUUAAGUAAGUAAUUCAAACAAGCAACAACAAAUUUUUUUUGGCUGGAGAUCUCCAAACACAGUGUUGGCCAACCCUGUCCAGACAUCAAAAGUCAUUCAAACAUCAGUUUGAGGGAAAACGUCUGCUCUUUAAAGACCCUCUACUCUUUGUGUCCUCCUCCUCUAUCAAAGGACCACCCCGUAGCAGUUUUGUGAGAUCUCCAAACAGUCCCCCUGUACUUAAACACACUGAGCAAACUCGCAACACCUCAAGCCUGAAAGAGGCUUUGUGCACAUCACAAUGUCUUUCACCACUGUGAACAUCAAUCCUCAGCCAACACCAUCACUACGUAUUCCAGGUUGUAUUAGCAAAUACACAUGCAUUCAUACAAAUAAUGAGCUAAUAUUUGACCUAAAACACUGGGAGGUCAGGAAAUCAGAGACAUUUUGUGCGGCCUGUUGUUAUACAGAGCAGGUUGUAUCACGGUGGAUGAUUAUUUCUUUAUUAUGAAGAGGGAAAAUUAGAGCAUUUGCAUACAUUGGAUUAUAAUGAAUUGGAUUGUGAUGUGAGGCCCAGAGGCAUAAUAUUUAAACCCAGUGUUUGAACAUAUACAGAUGUUUUUUGAGUGUACGAUGUUCGUACUUUGGAUUUCAAUUGCUUUUUGUGUGUGUGUGACAAUGCAAUAAAAUGAUUUAAGUAUGAA
rnacentral:lncRNA from 1 species